GGGUCAGUAGGUUGGUCGUGCCACUGGUACGUACUGGUCUCACUGAUUCCUCCUUCCUGAAGAACCGUAAUGCCAUUAAUUUGGUGUUGCGGGGAAACAGGACUGUUACUUUGAAAAAAUUAGAGUGUUUAAAGCAAGCUAACGCUUGAAUACAUUAGCAUGGAAUAAUGAAAUAGGACGAUCGAUCCUAUUUUGUUUGUUUCUAGGAUUGACGUA
rnacentral:rRNA from 1 species